GGGGAGAUGCCAGAGUGGACGAUCGGAGCCGCCUGCUAAGCGGUUGAGGGGGUUAGAAACUUCCUCCCUGGGUUCGAAUCCCAGUCUCCCCG
rnacentral:tRNA from 1 species